UUUUUCUAAUUACUUGCAAGCGAUGUGUAAAUUAGAUUAAUUCAAUCCAUGAGUUUGGAACAAUUUGUUUGGCCUUCUAUCAUUAACUCUUGUUCUACAAAGCCGUUUGUUUUGAAAUCUUUAUUCAAGAAAUUCAAGGACACACGUUUAUUCAUAAAUUUAGAUAAUAUUUCACUAAAUAAGUUGAAAUUGACC